rnacentral:rRNA from 1 species
UACGUAGGGUGCAAGCGUUGUCCGGAAUUAUUGGGCGUAAAGAGCUCGUAGGCGGUCUGUCACGUCGGCUGUGAAAUCCCGAGGCUCAACCUCGGGUCUGCAGUCGAUACGGGCAAACUAGAGUAUUGCAGGGGAGACUGGAAUUCCUGGCGUAGCGGUGAAAUGCGCAGAUAUCAGGAGGAACACCGGUGGCGAAGGCGGGUCUCUGGGCAAUAACUGACGCUGAGGAGCGAAAGCGUGGGGAGCGAACAGG